UUUGUUUUGCAGCUGGAAUUGUUAUUGAGGAGAAGAACUGGCCACCAUUUUUCCCAAUUAUUCAUCAUGAUAUCGCAAAUGAAAUUCCAAUUCACCUUCGAACAUUGCAGUAUGUUGCAUUUUUUAUCAUCAUGAUAUCGCAAAUGAAAUUCCAAUUCACCUUCGAACAUUGCAGUAUGUUGCAUUUUUUUCGUUGUUAGGUAAGUUAUCUGAUCCUGUUUUCUUCUUGUGGGGAAGGUUAUUGGUAGAGCAAGGUAGUACUGUGUUGGAAAUACCUUCAUCGCGGUCCGCCCCUAGUUGUCU
rnacentral:lncRNA from 1 species